rnacentral:rRNA from 1 species
GACGAACGCUGGCGGCGUGCUUAACACAUGCAAGUCGAGCGGAGCGGCGAACGGGUGAGUAACGCGUGAGUAACUGCCCCCCUCUCUGGGAUAACAGUUGGAAACGGCUGCUAAUACCUGAUAGUGGGGGAUGUUUCGGGUCCUAUCAUCUUGUUGGUGGGGUAGUGGCCUACCAAGGCGACGACGGGUAGCCGGCCGGAGCGGGCAACCGGCCAAAUUGGGCGGGGAUGCGGCCGAAACUCCUACGGGAGGCAGCAGUGGGGAAUAUUGGGCAAAGGGCGCAAGCCUGACCCAGCAAUCCGCGUGAAGGAAGACGGUCUUCGGAUUGUAAACUUCUGUAGACAAGGACGCGGUACCUGUAGAAUAAGCCACGGCUAACUACGUGCCAGCAGCCGCGGUAAUAC